AGUAAUAUUUGAUUGGAUCACUGGAUCUAGGGAUAAUGAUAUUCACUUGACCUAAAAUAACAUAUACUCUCCAUCUGAGUUAGCUUUUGUUCUAAAUUUGUUGAAGUGAAUAUCUGACACCACAUAUGUAUGUUGCAUGAGUAGUCAUUUUUUCAUCAAAAUUUAUUGUUCAAGAUGCAUUGAUAUCUAUGAGGUGUGUUUUUGAAUUUUAAUAUUCAAUGUAUACAUUUACAUGCUUUUCUUUUGGAAUUUUAGAAUUUCGUUCUUUAUUCUUAAUUCGUGUAUCUAUUUCACAAAAUGAUGAUAUAUGAUAAGAAUUACUGAGCGGGAAAAUCUUAAAUUCUAUUUUGGCCAAACAACGUUUUCAACCAAAUUGAUCAUAGUUUUGAAUUCGAAAAAAAAAGAACUCUGAUUGAUCUGGAAUUUGGUAGAUUCAUAAGAACGACCUAGUA
rnacentral:lncRNA from 1 species